rnacentral:lncRNA from 1 species
AUGAAAAUUUUCCCCCAUUUUCUUUUCUCCUGUGUUCUGUCUGAUGGUGGCACCAAUGAGCAACGGAAUAACCAAAAGGCACCUGGCAAAAAGCUCUAGGCAUUCUAACUCUAAAAGGACUGAUGAAGACGCUUUUCUGACUACAGACAGAAGGACUCCCCGUUACUGAAUGUUUUUAAUGUACCAUCUGCAUUAUAUAAAUUGUCCCAUUAAUCCUCCAAACCAUUCUAAGAGGACAGGUUUUGCCUUAAGUUAUCCAGAUGUUGCAUGGUGAGGUGAAGGACUCCAACAGUUUUAUUCGUUGAGAAAAGCAGAAUCCUUUUUUUUUUCAUUAACAAUGAGAAUGAAUUUUCCUAUUCCAUCAAGAUUUCUAUGUGGCCAUCUCUUCAGGACAUAGGUAUCAGCUACUGUUUUAAAUUUAGGAAAUGCACACACAUAUGCAACCAACCACAUAAUGUUUCCAAAGCAAUAUAUUGAGAUUGAUACAAAUACACAUUUUUCAAGAAUCCUGGACUAAUCCCACACUACUCUGAGCCUUCUUUACUUUUUAAGCCUCUUUAUUUCUAUUAUAUGACUGUGAACUAAGUAGAUUUAACUUUUGUAUGCUUUUAAAAUCAGUUAUAUUUUCUGAUAUGUGAUAACAAAUAUACUGUGUAUUUCAUUGAAACGUAGAGGAAAACUGCUCUUUUUUUCCUUUUAAAAUCAGUGCCUAUGGUAUAGUCAACAAAGUAUUUAAUGAGUGGCUAUUUUGAGCCAUUUUUAAUUGGCUGGACUACUGCAGACAUACCAUUUUAAAUGAUUACACAUAUGUCUAGAGAAUCAGCAUAGGAUUUUUGUUUUUCCUUUGAGAUUGAACAAUUUUUAUUUCAUCAUUACUAAAACUUAGCUGACAAUUUUUAUUUUUUCAUUACUAAAACUUAGCUGGAUGUCAGUUUCUGCCUUUAAAUAAAAUAUCCAAAUCCAGGAUUAUUCUCAAUUGCAAAAAUGCAGCUGGUCUCAACUAUUCCUUUUAUAUUUUCUUUCACAUAGGGUAGAAAAUGGUGAAUCAUUGUACUUUCAUAUAAUAAAAAGAUGUCUUCAAUUUUAAAUGUAAUUGUCCUUUCUUGAGUAACUUCUAAAUGAAGUGAAACCACAAAGGCAGUUUGGCACACUAUUGAUUCUAUCCUGGUUAUCUUUUUUGUCAGGCUAGAAUGUGAAGGGAAAGGGUUUGGAGCACAGAAUGGUUUUCCUUUUAAAGAAAAAAAAUUGAAUGAAAAAUUGGCAAUGAAAAUAAAAUACUGGACCUAGAUUCCCAA